rnacentral:tRNA from 1 species
GGUGGAGUGGUGUAGUGGUCAGCACACCCGACGGGACAUUGGGGGGCCCAGACUUCAAACCUGGCUCCGCCG